GUCUAUGGCCACACCGCCCUGAACAUGCCCGAUCUCGUCUGAUCUCGGAAGCUAAGCAGGGUCGGGCCUGGUUCGUACUUGGAUGGCAGAAGAGCUCAGGGAACUCCUUGCACAGGCA
rnacentral:rRNA from 1 species